rnacentral:rRNA from 1 species
CCCUUAGAUGUCCGGGGCUGCACGCGCGCUACACUGAAGGAAUCAGCGUGCUAAAACCAUUGUCGAAAGGCAUUGGUAAACCCAUUAAAAUCCUACGUGAUUGGGAUCGGGAAUUGCAAUUAUUUCCCUUGAACGAGGAAUUCCCAGUAAGUGUGGGUCAUAAGCUCGCGUUGAUUACGUCCCUGCCCUUUGUACACACCGCCCGUCGCUGCCCGGGACUGUGCCGUUUCGAGAAAAGCGGGGACUGCUGCUGUCGGGGCUUUCGGGCCUUGGCUUCGGUGGAAACCGCUUUAAUCGCAGUGGCUUGAACCGGGCAAAAGUCGNAACA